rnacentral:rRNA from 1 species
AACGCGAAGAACCUUACCCAGGCUAGAAGUGUAGAGUAACGCAACAGAGAUGUUGAAGUCCGAAAGGAACUCUAUAUAGGUGCUGCAUGGCUGUCGUCAGCUCGUGCCGUGAGGUGUUGGGUUAAGUCCCGCAACGAGCGCAACCCUUAUUGUCAGUUGCCAACGCGUAAAGGCGGGGACUCUGGCAAGACUGCCUAGGUUAACUAGGAGGAAGGUGAGGAUGACGUCAAGUCCGCAUGGCCUUUAUGUCUGGGGCUACACACGUGCUACAAUGGUCGGUACAGAAGGCAGCGAAGCCGCGAGGUGGAGCUAAUCCGAAAAAACCGAUCUCAGUUCGGAUUGCAGUCUGCAACUCGGCUGCAUGAAGUUGGAAUUGCUAGUAAUGGCGUGUCAGCAACAGCGCCGUGAAUACGUUCCCGGGCCUUGUACACACCGCGAGC